rnacentral:lncRNA from 1 species
GGGAGAUUUUUUUUUUUUUUUUUGAGACAGAGUCUCACUCUGUUGCCCAGGCUGGAGUGCAGUAGCGUGAUCUCGGCUCACUACAACCUCUGCCUCCCAGGCUUAAGUGAUUCUCCCACUUCCACCUCCUGAGUAGCUGGGAUUACAGGCUCUUGCUGCCACACCCGGCUAAUUUUUUUGUAUUUUAGUAAAGAUGGGGUUUCAUCAUGUUGCCCAGGGUGGUUUUGAACUGAGCUCAGCCAAUCCACCUGCCUUGGCCUCCCAAAGUGCUGGGAUUACAGGCAAGAGCCACCGCGCCCGACCAAUAUAGGGAGAUCUUGUCUCUACCAUUUUUUUUUUUUUUAAUUAGCUGGGCAUGGUAGUGCAUGGCUGUGGUCUCAGCCACUUAGGAGGCUGAGGUGGGAGGAUCAUUUGACCCAGGAGUUUGAGGUUGCAGUCAGACGAGAUCACGUCACGGCACUCCAGCCUGGGCAACAGAGGGAUACCUUUUCUCUAAAAAAACUAGAAGAAAGAACUGGUUGCUGUAGCAGUGGCUGCCAUAAGAAAAAGGUAAACCAGAGGAAUCGAAAGAAGUGUCUCUACUGUCUCUCUCUGCAAAUCUCAUUAGCCACUGUCCUGCUUACUCUCAAUGAAGACUAGGAAAGCUAGUGCUGUCAAGCAAGAACUCCUUUGACGGCUGGGCGCGGUGGCUUCUUUCUUCUUUGUUCCUCUUGUCCAUGUUGCCCAGCAGUGCCAGUUGACUCCAGCCUCCAAAUUAUUCCAGCUCUUCUAGAAGUAGACUCACUGGGACAUUUCAGAGGUAGCAGCAGCAGCUGGGAGGUAUUUCCUCCUCAGAGAUCUGCACACUUCUGCAGGGUCUGCGGGGUCCACCUACCCCAGCCCUCAACUCCUACAUUCUAGUGAUUGAAACCCUUCCCUUCAGUUUCUCAGCAGCCGCUUCCUCCGCUUAUCAUCCUUAGGUGAUCUCAGUGUUCCCUUUUGCUCCAAAACCUGUGUAACCAAUUCCCUCUACUGAAUACCCUCUGCUGAAAUCCUUAUUGUGAUUUGUUUUCUCAACUAGACCCUGAUCAAUGCCCCAGUCAUAACCAGCAUGAGCUCUCCUCCUCAUCCUGCAACUCAGGAAGUCCACAGUGAGUCAGUCUAACCUGAGGUGAAAAGAGACAACUGAACGUUUCAUGAGCCUUAAGACUUGGAGGGCAAUGAUGGAAAGUAUGGACAGGGGCCGGGUGCAGUGGCUCACACCUGUAAUCCCAGCACUUUGGGAGGCUGAGG